UACGGAGGGUGCAAGCGUUGUUCGGAUUUACUGGGCGUAAAGCGCGCGCAGGUGGAUGGACAAGUCGGAAGUGAAAUCUUGAGGCUCAACCUCGAGGCUGCUCCCGAAACUGUUCGUCUAGGGACUGGUAGAGGCUGGUAGAAUUCCCGGUGUAGCGGUGGAAUGCGUAGAGAUCGGGAGGAAUACCGAUGGCGAAGGCAGCCCCCUGGGCCAAUACUGACGCUCAUGCACGAAAGCGUGGGGAGCAAACAGG
rnacentral:rRNA from 1 species